GCCAUAGUACUUUAUGCGGGUCAAAUAUGUUAAGGAUAAUGUUUCUCAAUGUAACAUUGCAAAGAACUUUUGGAUAGGAUACAUUUUGUAAAUAGUUACCUCAGAACCUGUACUGUCAGAUCUAUGUAUUGUUACGAUUCGGUGUUGUCAGUGUUUUGUUUUAGGCAUGACUGUUAUGUUUCCUGUUUUACUUUGAAGGUCUGUUGUAUCUCAGUGUGUUCAGCUCACCUUUUUUUGUCUCGUCAGGUCUGAUUUGCCCCAGCUGUGUUUCCCUCCUGUGGUCCAUUCCCUGAUUGCUCCCUCUAUGUAUUUAAGCCUUGUGUUUCAGUUUGUGAGGGUUGCGAUCUUCCCCCCCGGUUGUAAAUAGUUUGGGGUUUUGAUGUAAAUAAAUGUCUUAUUUUGCUUUGAUGUAAGUAGUUGUCGAUACUUUCGUUUUGGGAUUUUUUUGUGGAGACCCGUAGUAGUUUUUUUUGUUUUGUUUUUUUUUUCCUUAUUUUUAUUUUUCCUGUGUUGCACGCCGGUUGCCUAGGCUGGGGUGUAACAGUAUGUAAGGUUAAACUUUCCACAGUACAUCCACUUAAGUAAGUAACCAAACACAUAAAGUCACCCUUACCAAUAAUGUUGGUAAGGGUGACUGUUCCUUGAAAAAAGUAACACAAACAGACAACUGACUCAUCAAUGAUAAGUAGAGCUACCUGAGGCUGAGACUCAAGCAGAAGAAAAUUAAAAGUUGUUUUUUUUUUUUUUAUGGCUCGAAAGAUUGAAGAAAAAUAUGUUUAAUAAUUCAACAAGAGUCGCACCUUCAACACACGUACAUUCAAAUUUUGGAACAGACUCAACAUUGCUGUUGUUCAAUAGUUUUUAUCCACUCUCAAAAGUCAUUUUAUGGCUUUAAUAUUUCCAGCUGAUAAGGAGACUUACGCCAUUUCAAAUGUGCGUCCAAAGGCUUUAAACAUCCGCUUUGUCUGUAAUGACAGUAUCAAACUGCAGAGCAUUGUUUUUACUAAAAUUCAGCAUUUUCUGAU
ensembl:lncRNA